rnacentral:sRNA from 1 species
UUGAUUGGUAUUGUUCUACUUCCUAUGGGGCUGCAAACCCACUCAGCUACAUCAGUCAUUUUAUAUAGCCAUAUCAUUAUGGCAUUCAGAGUUAAGAAAGAAGUGUACCAGUGCCCAGCAGAGAGUAUGCCUAAUAAAGAACAUUAAAUAUAAGAGAAUAAGAGGUGCUUUGGAAAAAGUUUUAUCCUCCUACCCCUUAUAGUAAUAAUAGGAGCAAAAGAGAAAAUGCAAGUGGGGCAGAUUUGUCAAUAAAGACUACAAAACACUGUUUUUCCCCACAAUUAUCUUAAUUAAUAUUUGUUAAGUCACUUCAGAGGAGGGAUGAUCCAUUUUAACGUCAAGAGAAAUACAGUCACGAUCAUUAUUAGUGAACUGUAAGGACAGUCUUAGGCUAAGAACAUUAUUAGUGGCUCUAAGAACCUGACAAAACCAAGAAGCUUUAAAAGUUAAUGUCCAUAAUACUGUUACAUUCUGUUUUUCAUCCCUUUAGUCAUAAUAACUCAGGAACUCACAAAAUUGUUUUAAUAGAUGGUAUCAGUAUUAAAAAGGGACUAUAAAGUAUCAAAAAAUAAAGAUGUCAGAGUGCGAACCAUGAAGUCCAAGCAAAUGCAAUUAAGACAAAAGUCUGCUGUCCACUGCUUGCCAUGGAAAUGGUAUGUUUUAAUAUCCUGAGCACUCAAAAAGUACCAGAAAUACACAGUGGAGUGUUACCUUCCUCACACUGGUGUGACAAACACUCCGAGUUCCCAAAUUCCAAAUCAGGGACUCAGUGAUUGCUUGGGCCUACAUUGACUCAAAAAGUAUUUCAAGGAGAAAAGAAAGUUCCUGCCCGUGGAUGGAGAAUGGAUGGAGGGUUUUACAUCUUUUAUUUGACUGCAUAUCCCCAGGAAACACCUGAGCAAUGUUGUUUGACUAUGGUUAUGCCAGCAGUAACAAGCUGAGUGGGUACAUCAAUUAAAUUUUAUGUGCCUUGCUUUUUUUCCCCUCCAUAAAAGAGCAGAUAACAAUUCAUCCUUACUAAUUACCUCCAUGGGAGUCUGAGACAUUUAGAAAAGUCAGUGGAGUAAUAUAGAGAAAUGUUCCAGAGAAAGGUGUAUAUAUGUGUAUACGUGUAUACACUUGAUAAGGAAAUCCAUUGUCUUAAAAAUAAUAAAAUAAAACGGCAGCAUGAUAGAUAACUAGGGGAAAUGUUUUCUAUAAUGUAAGACAAAGCAUAGUUCCUUGAUGUUAUGACAUAUGGAAUACCUGUGUUUUCUUGGCUGGAUUUGUGGGCCAUAAGAGUCUCAGUGAGAAAAUGGAAAAUGUGACGCACUUGAGACAUGAGUUCAAGUUAGCGCAGAUAUAUAACAAUACUAUGGAUGCUGGGUAAAGGCCCAAUAACCUCUGGAAUGGGCUCAUGUUCCAAUAAUCACAACUAUUGCUAAGGCGGUAGGUAGCUUCCAUGAGCAAAUAUUGUAAUUUUUUUUCCUUUCAACUCUUGAAAAGGUAAGACAUGGCAAUGAAAGAUUCAUUUUCCCAUAUGACUAAAGUUCAGAGAGGGGAACUUCCCCCAAGUAUAUAUUUUAUUUAUAUGACCACCUGGUACAAAAAAAAAACAGGUUUGUACUUAAUGUUUCCAAAAAUAAUUAGGAACGCAUUUUCAUCAUUAGUGCCCUCAGGCUAUAAUACCCUGAGGAAGAUGUGCCCCCACUUGAAGGCCUUUAAAGCUACUCUUCUGCCUGGGGCCAGUUAUACUACAGUUUAAAAAAUUGUGAUUUAUAUGUGGUCACUGGUUUUUUUUAUAUGUGUUGUUAAAAUGAAAGUAAGCAGCCAAAUGGUACGAAUGGGAAAAUUCUAUAGUUUCAAGAAAAAGCUCCAAACUCCAAUCCAACCAAUUUAAAGGUUAUUACAAAGGGUUAAUUCCAAACAAUACUGCUAAAAGUUGUGAAGGUGAAAGCUGCAGGUCAGAUAAAUGAAGAUUCAAUUUUGGCCAAUUUUAACUUAAUAUGAGAGCAGCAGAUGGUGUGACUUAUUGAAAGCACUUUUCAAUUUUCUGGGAAAGGUAAUUUCUUAAAUGAAAGGGCUCCUUUAGGCACGCAAACACCACAUUCCAAAGCUGUUAAGAGACCCAACUGCAGUUACAGAGCCAGAAAUGGCAGUAGAGGACAGCUAGAACCCAAGCGAAACGGCUCCUAACUCAUGCUAGACUUGACACGGAUUCCUCACUGAUCUCUGGCUGUUGUAAAUGUGAAUGGUUUUUCUUUUCUCUUUCUUUUUUUCCCCUUCAUGCUGUGUUGAGAUGUGGGUAGUUAUUCUCUUGGAUUGCCAGUAUUAUUCUUGCUUGUGGUAAAAAAAAAAAAAAAGAUAUAGUUUGCAAAGUAAAGUCAUUGUUUCCUCCACUUUGUUUGAGGGGCAAUCUGCUAAGCAAACUGUCAGUGUGGGUCAAAGGAUCCAUAAUACUUCCAAAGUUUCUCUACACUGUACAUUGCAGGUGAUGGGCUAUGACAGAGAAAAAUAAACUGUAACUUCUUCCCUGACCUUACUCAAACAAUUUGAUGCAGGCGCUGGCAAAAGUGAUCGCCACACAAGCAUGAGGAAGGAUGUGAGUUUACCAGCAGCCAUAUAAGAGUGGUCUGUCGGGGCAGCCUGAAUCCAAGCAGACAGAAGAUAUGGAGAAAGGAAACUGAAUGAGCAAAGGUGGUAUAGAAGUCCUGAUUGAAAUUAAACUAUUUCUACAAUAGACAAAACUUUCAAAUAACAUUUACAAGAACACAGCAAAUAUUCAAAACAAGAAAUACAUCAUAUUGGAGUUUUAAGGGAAACCACAGAGAGCUCUGAUCCAUGGACCUGUACAAAAGCCUGGGCUGACAUAUCAAUUUGAUCUCAUCACCCUGAGAAAACAGAAUCUCGAAUGCUAUCCUCAGAGCUGCCGGCAAAGGUGUGCGAAAAAAUUUUUCCAUUUGUGCCCCCAUGAAGUCUAGUUUUACUCACACGGAAGUGUGGCGUUAUUUCACUUUUUGACUCCUUAACAGAAGCUCAACUCAACGUUCUAAGGGGAGGAGAAAAAAAUCAAGAACAGAACUAUAAACAGAAUGCAUGCCACAGACACGCUGCCCUAGUAAGUGAGGGCCACAUUCAGAAACUCUUUCUCUUCUGGCUCUGGGCGAUUUUCUCUGCCUUUCCAAGUCUGUUCUUCUGUAAAUGAUUGUCUAUUGCAGCUUACCAUGUAAGGAUUUCUCUGAAGAAAGAAGUAAAAACACAUCAAAAGCAACAAUACUUUUUUUUCUCCCUGCUGGAGACACUAUUUGUAGAAAGCGUUUUCCUUUUAUGGCCAUGACCAGAAAGCAAAGGAUUGUGAAGCAGAGCUGUGUAAGCAAAAUACCAACUCACUUCAUUUCACAGAAAUGCAACCUGAAAAGCCCGACAGCAAACUUAGCGACGAGGAAAUUUACUCAAACUCUGCGAGAAUCAGCUUUAAAAGAGCCCUAUUAAAAAUGUCUAAAUCCAAUUAGGGAGACAGAGGUUACAUUGCAUAGAUCAUAGACUUGGCAUCAAGCAGACCUUGGUGAUUUUGAAGUUUCAGCUGUAGCUGUACGGCUGCCUGAAUUUCUCCAUCUGUAAAUGCAUGAUGUUAGCAGACAGACUUUCUUUAGGCAGUUUGGAGACUUCAGUUAAAUGAUACUGCUAUAUCGGAUAAAAAGUAAUCCUGUUAAUUUUUAAAGGAAAUUAAAGUUCUAAUAUGACCCUUGAUUAUGAAUUUGCAAAUUAUGUGAAACUGUUUGUUGAAGGGCCAGCUUCAUUCAUUUUACCAAUAAAACAAUGAAAACAGUGAAGGAAACUAGAGGCAGAUGAAGGAAGAGAAACUCUCAAUAUUUUUAGCUAAUUAGAGAUUUGAAAACACUGGAGUGAGGUCAUAGGGCCAUUUUACAUGUGGAAACUUAACUUAGUGGUUCUGGCAAAAGACAAAGGAAAUAUGAACUGUGUGUUCACUUUCCUACCCAAAGACUAUAUGGUUGCAAACUCAAGUAACAGGGAGAGAAUGGGUCUAAUCUCCUUCAAUAGAGUCCCUGAAGCCUUCCAUCCAACAUGCCAACUUGGACAUAUUGUUUUUCUGAGCAUCAGUUUCUAUAAGUUUGCCAAAUAUUUCUGCUGGAACCUAACUCCAGUGACGUUGGUAUCUGGGCCAAAACUAUUAGAUAUAUUGUAAAGAAUUUAGGUCUGUUCUCUCACUUGUCUCUGUGGUAUUUUCCUACAAAAUUGUUCUUGAAAUAGAAUACCACUGUAGAUCAUAAAAUGUUCCGUGAUUAUUGAUUCCUUUCAACUCUCCUCUCAUAGCAUAGCCAGUAUUCUUGGGGUUUUGUAAGAUUAGCAGGUUGUACUUUAUAUGGUUGAAUCAGGCAUUGUUCAGAUGUUCAAAUUUCAUUCCUGGAGGUCAGUAAACAAUUUGUUAAACAGCACUGCAGUAAUACAGCUUCGGUUGGCCACACACCCAUUUACUGAGGCCAACUCACUACUGAGGAUCACUGGUUCAAAUCUGGAAAAGGCCCACUGCUAUACUGUAAUGCUUAUCAGAAAGUUCUUUGCAAUAGCUUUCUAUGAGCAUCCUGUACUAUAACCUAAUUCCUCUUGAAAUGAUGGACAGUAAACUACUUAAAAUUAUACAAAUGGCGUUAAUGGAUUCUCAUGAGUCAUGUCCAUCAAAACAAGUAUGAAAAUCAACGUUUUACAUAUGCCUUUGAGCAUGCUGACUUCCUAUAUUCUAAAUAUUCUUCCAGGUUUUGCAUGUUUUGUAUCAUUUGUUACCUAAGUUGCCUAAAAAUAUAGGCACACAACUGCUCAUAUGGUAUGACCAAAGUGAGAGCAGUUAUUCAAUCUUCUCUUCCAUAUGCUAUCUUAGUCAGUCAUUCUGAAAUCACAUGUUGUCAUGUGCAACACUUAGUGCUAGCUUAUGUUAAGCUCAUAUAAAAGUUCUGAAAGUAUUUUUUAAUUUAAUUACAGUGCUUUUGAAAUUUAAGCCCCUUCACUGUUUGCUUAAAAAUUCCCUUCCAAAAAAACUGCUCUUACCCACAUUAGACCAUAUUUUGUAAAAUACAAUUCUAAUCCAGGUUGUAAGAAGCUUUUAUAGUAGUUCUCUUUGAGAUAUUUAGCAUUUGAAUAAAGCCAUAGUGUCUUAGCAAGCAGAAAUGUAGAAGAACAUUUCAAAAGGUAAACUUUUUCAUGCACAGGGUAAGAUGGUUGCUUCAAAGGAACACAGAAGCACCUAAAUGUUGUGGACCAACAAAAUGGAGCCAGAGAUAGCCUAGCAGCCAUAUACAUUUGUAUAAGAUGUACAGAAUAUUCUUUCUUUUUUUUUA